rnacentral:rRNA from 1 species
UAGCCGCGUGCAGGAUGAAGGCCUUCGGGUUGUAAACUGCUUUUGUACGGAACGAAACGGCCGCCUCUAAUAAAGGUGGCUAAUGACGGUACCGUAAGAAUAAGCACCGGCUAACUACGUGCCAGCAGCCGCGGUAAUACGUAGGGUGCGAGCGUUAAUCGGAAUUACUGGGCGUAAAGCGUGCGCAGGCGGUUAUAUAAGACAGAUGUGAAAUCCCCGGGCUCAACCUGGGACCUGCAUUUGUGACUGUAUAGCUAGAGUACGGUAGAGGGGGAUGGAAUUCCGCGUGUAGCAGUGAAAUGCGUAGAUAUGCGGAGGAACACCGAUGGCGAAGGCAAUCCCCUGGACCUGUACUGACGCUCAUGCACGAAAGCGUGGGGAGCAAACAGGAUUAGAUACCCUGGUAGUCCACGCCCUAAACGAUGUCAACUGGUUGUUGGGUCUUCACUGACUCAGUAACGAAGCUAACGCGUGAAGUUGACCGCCUGGGGAGUACGGCCGCAAGGUUG